rnacentral:lncRNA from 1 species
UGUGAUUUUCAUCAUUACAUAGCCCUAAAGAUCCCCCUGAUCAAAAAAUUGUGACUAUCAUUAUCAUGAGAUCUUCAGCCAAGGUUUUUCCACAUAUAAUAUCAUGUCAUCAGUAGGGUGAGAAUUGUUCCACUUUCCUACCAAUAUAACCUAAA